rnacentral:snoRNA from 1 species
GAACCGUGAUGGGGGUACUAAGUGGUGUAGCUUUUAAACCUCUCCCAAGCUUCAUAGAAAGUUUCAUUGUUAAUCUCUGUGAAGUCUGAGAUCUCGUUUCUCAAUCU